rnacentral:rRNA from 1 species
AACGAACGCUGGCGGCAGGCCUAACACAUGCAAGUCGAGCGGACCCUUCGGGGUUUGCGGCGGACGGGUGAGUAACGCGUGGGAAUAUGCCCUUCUCUACGGAAUAGUCCUGGGAAACUGGGGGUAAUACCGUAUACGCCCUUUGGGGGAAAGAUUUAUCGGGGAAGGAUUAGCCCGCGUUGGAUUAGGUAGUUGGUGGGGUAAUGGCCUACCAAGCCGACGAUCCAUAGCUGGUUUGAGAGGAUGAUCAGCCACACUGGGACUGAGACACGGCCCAGACUCCUACGGGAGGCAGCAGUGGGGAAUCUUAGACAAUGGGGGCAACCCUGAUCUAGCCAUGCCGCGUGAGUGAUGAAGGCCUUAGGGUUGUAAAGCUCUUUCAGCUGGGAAGAUAAUGACGGUACCAGCAGAAGAAGCCCCGGCUAACUCCGUG